GCCCGGCCAGCUCAGUCGGUCCAGCAUGAGACUCUUAAUCUCAGGGUCGUGGGUUCAAGCCCCACGUUGGGCG
rnacentral:tRNA from 1 species